rnacentral:rRNA from 1 species
CCCUACGGGGCGCAGCAGUGGGGAAUAUUGGGCAAUGGAGGCAACUCUUACCCAGCAAUGCCGCGUGAAUGAAGAAGGUCUUCGGAUUGUAAAGUUCUUUAAUUGGGGACGAAAAAAAUGACGGUACCCAAGGAAUAAGCCCCGGCUAACUACGUGCCAGCAGCCGCGGUAAUACGUAGGGGGCAAGCGUUGUUCGGAAUGACUGGGCGUAAAGGGUGCGUAGGCGGUUUGAUAAGUUAGAGGUGAAAUGUCGGGGCUCAACCCCGAAACUGCCUCUAAUACUGUUGGACUAGAGAAUAGUUGCG